rnacentral:rRNA from 1 species
UAAAGAGGGUGAGAGCGUUAAUCGGAAUUACUGGGCGUAAAGCGCACGUAGGUGGCUACGUAAGUCGGGUGUGAAAGCCCCGGGCUCAACCUGGGAAUUGCAUUCGAGACUGCAUUGCUGGAGUACGGAAGAGGAGGGCGGAAUUCCCGGUGUAGCGGUGAAAUGCGUAGAUAUCGGGAGGAACAUCAUUGGCGAAGGCGGCCCUCUGGUCCAGUACUGACACUCAAGUGCGAAAGCGUGGGGAGCAAACAGG